GAUGAACGCUGGCGGCGUGCCUAAUACAUGCAAGUCGAGCGAACAGACGAGGAGCUUGCUCCUCUGACGUUAGCGGCGGACGGGUGAGUAACACGUGGAUAACCUACCUAUAAGACUGGGCUAACUUCGGGAAACCGGAGCUAAUACCGGAUAAUAUAUUGAACCGCAUGGUUCAAUGGUGAAAGACGGUUUUGCUGUCACUUAUAGAUGGAUCCGCGCCGCAUUAGCUAGUUGGUAAGGGAACGGCUUACCAAGGCGACGAUGCGUAGCCGACCUGAGCGGGAGAACGCACACACUGGAACUGAGGCACGGACCAGACGCCUACGGGAGGCAGCAGUAGAGAAUCUUCCGCAAUGGGCGAAAGCCUGACGGAGCAACACCGCGUGAGUGAUGAAGAUCUUCGGAUCGUAAAACUCUGUUAUUAGGGAAGAACAAAUGUGUAAGUAACUAUGCACGUCUUGACGGUACCUAAUCAGAAAGCCACGGCUAACUACGUG
rnacentral:rRNA from 1 species